UACGUAGGGUGCGAGCGUUGUCCGGAAUUACUGGGCGUAAAGAGCUCGUAGGUGGUUUGUCGCGUUGUUCGUGAAAACUCACGGCUUAACUGUGAGCGUGCGGGCGAUACGGGCAGACUGGAGUACUGCAGGGGAGACUGGAAUUCCUGGUGUAGCGGUGAAAUGCGCAGAUAUCAGGAGGAACACCGAUGGCGAAGGCAGGUCUCUGGGCAUUAACUGACGCUGAGGAGCGAAAGCAUGGGGAGCGAACAGG
rnacentral:rRNA from 1 species